AUUGAACGCUGGCGGCAGGCCUAACACAUGCAAGUCGAGCGGAUGACGGGAGCUUGCUCCUUGAUUCAGCGGCGGACGGGUGAGUAAUGCCUAGGAAUCUGCCUGGUAGUGGGGGACAACGUUUCGAAAGGAACGCUAAUACCGCAUACGUCCUACGGGAGAAAGCAGGGGACCUUCGGGCCUUGCGCUAUCAGAUGAGCCUAGGUCGGAUUAGCUAGUUGGUGAGGUAAUGGCUCACCAAGGCAACGAUCCGUAACUGGUCUGAGAGGAUGAUCAGUCACACUGGAACUGAGACACGGUCCAGACUCCUACGGGAGGCAGCAGUGGGGAAUAUUGGACAAUGGGCGAAAGCCUGAUCCAGCCAUGCCGCGUGUGUGAAGAAGGUCUUCGGAUUGUAAAGCACUUUAAGUUGGGAGGAAGGGCAGUAAGUUAAUACCUUGCUGUUUUGACGUUACCGACAGAAUAAGCACCGGCUAACUCUGUGCCAGCCGCCGCCGUAAUAC
rnacentral:rRNA from 1 species